UACGUAGGGUGCAAGCGUUACUCGGACUUACUGGGCGUAAAGCGUGCGUAGGCGGCUUUGCAAGACAGAUGUGAAAUCCCCGGGCUUAACCUGGGAACUGCAUUUGUGACUGCAUAGCUAGAGUACGGUAGAGGGGGAUGGAAUUCCGCGUGUAGCAGUGAAAUGCGUAGAUAUGCGGAGGAACACCGAUGGCGAAGGCAAUCCCCUGGACCUGUACUGACGCUCAUGCACGAAAGCGUGGGGAGCAAACAGG
rnacentral:rRNA from 1 species